AACGAACGCUGGCGGCAUGCCUAACACAUGCAAGUCGAACGAGACCUUCGGGUCUAGUGGCGCCCGGGUGCGUAACGCGUGGGAACCUGCCCUUAUGUUCGGACUAACUCCCCGAAAGGGGUGCUAAUACCGGAUAAUGUCUUCGGACCAAAGAUUUAUCGCCUUUGGAUGGGCCCGCGUUGGAUUAGCUAGUUGGUAGGGUAAAAGCCUACCAAGGCGACGAUCCAUAGCUGGUCUGAGAGGAUGAUCAGCCACACUGGGACUGAGACACGGCCCAGACUCCUGCGGGAAGCAGCAGUGGGGAAUAUUGGACAAUGGGCGAAAGGCUGAUCCAGCAAUGCCGCGUGAGUGAUGAAGGGCUUAGGGUUGUAAAGCUCUUUUAACCGGGAUGAUAAUGACAGUACCGGGAGAAUAAGCACCGGCUAACUACGUG
rnacentral:rRNA from 1 species